UUUGGCCUUAUUGGCAUGCUUUUCCAUUCCCCUAUUCAUUAACAGCGAUAAUUGCCAGGGCAACCAUCAAACACACCCCUUCUUUAGAGAAAGAAGAUCCACGGGACACUCGCUCUACAGUUGUCAACCGUAUGGUGUCCCGUUUUGGGAAGCUGUCAAAAAUCAUAAAAUCACUGACUUCAUCUUGAGGUUCUUCGGUGGCAUGAUGGCUGCCCGAAGCUCUGAGCUCUAACUCCAGAAGUUGGACGUCUAGAAGGCAUCUGUAUUCAUUUCCCAAGGCUGCCAUCAAAUGUACCGUAAGCCGGAAGGCUUAAAACCAGAGAACUCUGUUGUCACGCAGCUUUGGAGGCCUCAAGUCCAGAAUCGAGGGUCAGCAGGGCCACGCUCCUUCCGAGAUCCUAGGAAGAAUCCUUCCUCAAGCCCCCGAUGGUGGCAUUCCUUGACAUCCUCGGUGCUCCUUGAUGUGGAGCCGCAUCUCUCCAAUCUCUGCUUCAUCUUCAAAUGACCUCCUGGCAGAGACGUUAGUCAUAUUGGACUCUGGGCCCACCUUGCUGCAGUACGAUCUCGUCGUAAGGAAUUACACCUGUAAGACCCUUUCCCCGAAUAAGAUCACAUUGUCAAGUACUGGGGGCUGGGACUUUAACAUAUCUUUUGGGGAAGGGGGACACAAAAUUUUAAUAUAGUUUCCAUGUCAUUUUUUAGCAGCUUUGUUGAGAUACCUUCCUGUGGUUUUUUUUGAGAUAGUUUCUGCCUUAUGACCUUUCCGUUUGCAGUGUCUUUGCCCUAGUCUUCUCAUGGCCUCCUUAGGUCCUUCAGCCCUCUGCUCGAAACUUCUUCAGAGAGGCCUCUUCCGACCACUCUAUUUAAAAUAGAAA